AUUGAACGCUGGCGGCAUGCCUUACACAUGCAAGUCGAACGGCAGCACGGGAGCAAUCCUGGUGGCGAGUGGCGAACGGGUGAGUAAUAUAUCGGAACGUGCCCAGUCGUGGGGGAUAACGCAGCGAAAGCUGUGCUAAUACCGCAUACGAUCUAAGGAUGAAAGCGGGGGAUCGCAAGACCUCGCGCGAUUGGAGCGGCCGAUAUCAGAUUAGCUAGUUGGUGGGGUAAAGGCCCACCAAGGCGACGAUCUGUAGCUGGUCUGAGAGGACGACCAGCCACACUGGAACUGAGACACGGUCCAGACUCCUACGGGAGGCAGCAGUGGGGAAUUUUGGACAAUGGGCGAAAGCCUGAUCCAGCCAUGCCGCGUGCAGGAUGAAGGCCUUCGGGUUGUAAACUGCUUUUGUACGGAACGAAAAGACUCUUUCUAAUAAAGAGGGUCCAUGACGGUACCGUAAGAAUAAGCACCGGCUAACUACGUGCCAGCAGCCGCCGUAACAC
rnacentral:rRNA from 1 species